GAGAAUGGCCAAAUACCUUAAAGGCACCAGAUCCCGUCUGCUCUUGGAAGCCAAACAAGGUCAGCCCUGGUUAGUGCUUGUAUGGUAGACCAUCAUGAAUACCAGAUGCUAUGGGCU
rnacentral:rRNA from 1 species